UGGGAACCUUCCCUAUGGUUCGGAAUAGCUCAGGGAAACUUGGGGUAAUACCGGAUAAGCCCUUCGGGGGAAAGAUUUAUCGCCAUUGGAUGGGUCCGCGUCGGAUUAGCUAGUUGGUGAGGUAACGGCUCACCAAGGCGACGAUCCGUAGCUGGUCUGAGAGGAUGAUCAGCCACACUGGGACUGAGACACGGCCCAGACUCCUACGGGAGGCAG
rnacentral:rRNA from 1 species